CAGGGGGAAGUGAGGAAAGCUUGCUCGGCAGAGGGAGGCGUUGAGCUGUCUUGAAGUUGCAACAGCAGUCUCUGCCCAUCCCACAAAAUGCUCUAGAGCUGGACAUAUGUUCCCGUUACCCUGAACUGAGGUGCAUCAGAAUGGAGUUUUUAAGUAGCUGUCAGAAUGUAUGACCAAAAAAAAAGCAUAGCUGUAAAAUGUGCCAAGAGGAGUAGAAACAUACAACAAAACAAAAAGCAGAAAGAAUUAGAAGGAAUCUUGAUAACUCUGCUAAAAGGAAGAAAAGACAAGGGAUUCCUGAGAGCUACAAACUGGAACUUGGAAGAGAGAUAUGGAGAUAUACUAUGGAAUAAGACGUAAGGUCUGGCUUUGGCUUGUCUCCCCUGAUGAGCCCUGCGACAGCAUAUUUCUCAGAUGGCAGGGACUGUUACAGCUCACACUUCUGCACCUUUACAAGAUGAAGCUUUCUUUGUGAUCAGAUGUACACUCAGCCACUUGUCAUCCCCCACACCCAUGAGCCGAUCGUCUGUCACUGAUACCAGGAAAUUUAAUGAAAAUAAAUGAAGUGCUUUGAGUUCUCUGGACAGCAUCCAUUCUACAAGGAAGACAAAUACCAGCCCAGUCAGUGUGGGCUGACUGGAGGGGUAAGAUGUUGAAGCAAGCAACUAUUAAAUGUCCAUUUCAUUUGUUGAGGAUUUCAUUCUGACAAUUAGAGAAGCGUGAGUCCCAGGGCCAGGAGGCUUGGUGUAUCCCAGCAGAGCAAUUUCUUGAGAUCCUGGAUUCUUUGGCCAGUUCUCUUUCAGAACUUUCCUUCAUAACUCCUUCAUACACCAUGUGUCCACUCCACCUCCUGGCAUGGGUGAGCAGGAAAGCUCAAAUGGGAAAAUGAGCCUUGGAUUCCAUUUCCCCGGGUGAGAAGGGCAGUUGUGCAGAAAGGCCAACCAGAGACUGGGAAAAAUAAGACCGAGGCAACGCUUCCAGCGUUUUUGCUUAUUGGAUAUUAAAUGUCUUCAGGAAAUA